rnacentral:rRNA from 1 species
GAUGAACGCUGGCGGCGUGCCUAAUACAUGCAAGUCGAGCGAACAGAUGAGGAGCUUGCUCCUCUGACGUUAGCGGCGGACGGGUGAGUAACACGUGGAUAACCUACCUAUAAGACUGGGAUAACUUCGGGAAACCGGAGCUAAUACCGGAUAAUAUAUUGAACAGCAUGGUUCAAUAGUGAAAGACGGUUUUGCUGUCACUUAUAGAUGGAUCCGCGCCGCAUUAGCUAGUUGGUAAGGUAACGGCUUACCAAGGCAACGAUGCGUAGCCGACCUGAGAGGGUGAUCGGCCACACUGGAACUGAGACACGGUCCAGACUCCUACGGGAGGCAGCAGUAGGGAAUCUUCCGCAAUGGGCGAAAGCCUGGCGGAGCAACGCCGCGUGAGUGAUGAAGGUCUUCGGAUCGUAAAACUCUGUUAUUAGGGAAGAACAAAUGUGUAAGUAACUAUGCACGUCUUGACGGUACCUAAUCAGAAAGCCACGGCUAACUACGUG